AUACAUGCAAGUCGAGCGAACAGAUAAGGAGCUUGCUCCUUUGACGUUAGCGGCGGACGGGUGAGUAACACGUGGAUAACCUACCUAUAAGACUGGGAUAACUUCGGGAAACCGGAGCUAAUACCGGAUAACAUAUUGAACCGCAUGGUUCAAUAGUGAAAGGCGGCUUUGCUGUCACUUAUAGAUGGAUCCGCGCCGUAUUAGCUAGUUGGUAAGGUAACGGCUUACCAAGGCAACGAUACGUAGCCGACCUGAGAGGGUGAUCGGCCACACUGGAACUGAGACACGGUCCAGACUCCUACGGGAGGCAGCAGUAGGGAAUCUUCCGCAAUGGGCGAAAGCCUGACGGAGCAACGCCGCGUGAGUGAUGAAGGUCUUCGGAUCGUAAAACUCUGUUAUCAGGGAAGAACAAAUGUGUAAGUAACUGUGCACAUCUUGACGGUACC
rnacentral:rRNA from 1 species